rnacentral:sRNA from 1 species
ACUGGGUGUAGGGGGGCACACCUGUAAUCCCAGAAACUAUGGAGGCUGAGGCAGGAGGACUGCAAAUUUGAGGCCCACCUUGGCAAUUUAGCUAGACCCUGUCUCAA